GACGGAGGAUGCAAGUGUUAUCCGGAAUCACUGGGCGUAAAGCGUCUGUAGGUGGUUUAAUAAGUCAACUGUUAAAUCUUGAGGCUCAACCUCAAAAUCGCAGUCGAAACUAUUAGGCUAGAGUAUAGUAGGGGUAAAGGGAAUUUCCAGUGGAGCGGUGAAAUGCGUAGAGAUUGGAAAGAACACCGAUGGCGAAGGCACUUUACUGGGCUAUUACUAACACUCAGAGA
rnacentral:rRNA from 1 species